rnacentral:rRNA from 1 species
UACGGAGGGUGCAAGCGUUAUCCGGAUUCACUGGGUUUAAAGGGUGCGUAGGUGGGCUAGUAAGUCCGUGGUGAAAUCUCCAAGCUUAACUUGGAAACUGCCGUGGAUACUAUUAGUCUUGAAUGUUGUGGAGGUAAGCGGAAUAUGUCAUGUAGCGGUGAAAUGCUUAGAUAUGACAUAGAACACCGAUAGCGGAGGCAGCUUGCUACACAAUGAUUGACACUGAGGCACGGAAAGCGUGGGGAUC